AUGCCGGGGCUCACGGCGCCGUCGGACUACGCGGAGGAGCCGCCGCGCCACCCGGCCCUCAGGAUCAACUCCAAGGAGCCAUUUAAUGCUGAGCCUCAUCGAUCUGCGUUAGUUUCAUCUUAUAUCACCCCAGUGGAUUUCUUCUACAAGAGGAAUCAUGGACCAAUUCCCAAAGUUGAUGAUAUCUCAAGAUACAGUGUUUCCAUCAGUGGCCUCGUGAAUAAGCAUAUCCAGCUGUCCAUGGAUGACAUUAGGAUGCUUCCGAAGUACAAUGUCACUGCAACAUUACAGUGUGCAGGCAAUAAGAGAACUGCAAUGAGUAAGGUGCGGAAAGUGAGAGGUGUUGGAUGGGACGUAUCUGCUCUUGGAAAUGCAACUUGGGGUGGAGCAAAACUAUCUGAUGUCCUUGAACUAGUUGGAAUACAUAAACUCAGUUCAGUCACAUCUUUAGGAGGCAAACAUGUUGAGUUUGUCAGUGUUGACAGGUGUAAAGAGGAGAAAGGUGGCCCCUAUAAGGCAUCAAUUCCACUAAAGCAGGCAACAGAUCCUGAUGCUGAUGUGUUACUCGCAUAUGAAAUGAACGGAGAGACCAUCAAUCGUGACCAUGGAUAUCCACUCCGUGUGGUCGUACCUGGUGUUAUAGGUGCACGCUCCGUAAAAUGGCUUGACAGCAUCAACAUAAUCAAGGAAGAAUGCCAGGGUUUUUUUAUGCAAAAAGAUUACAAGAUGUUCCCACCUACCGUAGAUUGGGACAAUAUUAAUUGGUCAACUAGAAGACCACAAAUGGAUUUUCCUGUGCAGUCAAGUCUAUUUUAUCUUAAUUUCUUUUUGGAUUUGACCAAGCAGUCUGCUAUUUGCACCCUGGAAGAUGUGGAUGUUAUCAAGGAAGGAAAGGCUAGAAUUGCUGGAUAUGCAGUCUCAGGUGGCGGCCGCGGCAUUGAGAGGGUAGAUAUAUCUGUUGAUGGGGGUAAAACAUGGGUUGAAGCUCAUAGAUAUCAGAAAAGCAAUGUGCCAUAUGUCUCUGAUGGAGCUCAAAGCGACAAGUGGGCAUGGGUUCUAUUUGAGGCCACAUUGGACAUACCACCAAAUGCCGAGAUAGUAGCUAAGGCGGUGGAUUCGGCCGCAAACAUUCAACCCGAAAAAGUGGAGGACAUAUGGAAUCUGAGAGGAAUCCUCAACACAUCUUGGCAUCGGAUCAAAAUACAGAAUACUUCGUGCGUAUCUAGAUCAAAAAUGUGA
rnacentral:rRNA from 1 species